UACGUAGGAGACAAACGUUAUCCGGAGUUACUGGGCGUAAAGGGCGUGUAGGUGGUUUCGUAAGUCUGGCGUGAAAUUUUUCGGCUUAACCGGGAAAGGUCGUCGGAUACUGCGGAACUAGAGGACGGUAGAGGCGUGUGGAAUUCUCGGUGUAGCGGUGAAAUGCGUAGAUAUCGAGAGGAACACCUGCGGCGAAGGCGGGUAGCUGGGCCGACACUGACGCUGAGGCGCGAAAGCCAGGGGAGCGAACGGG
rnacentral:rRNA from 1 species